rnacentral:lncRNA from 1 species
ACGCGCGCGUGGAGCUGGCUGCGGUCCUGCUCGAGGCAGCGUGCGCGCUCACCUGCCUGUCCUGGCACGGCGCCAAGGUGCCGGGCGGGUCGCCGCACCCGGCCGCGCUGCUGGCGGGGCGCGCGCUGGUGCCGCUGGUGAACCUCAGCCUGGCGUACGCGGCGGGAAGGUGGAGGCCGGGCGGACUGGGCACAGGCAGGCGAGGCGGCGGAAGCGCACUCGCCCUGGACAAGUGCAUCAGCAUGCGCGCCAGUGGCGCUGCAGGUGGCAGUAGCAGCAAGGGCAAGGGCAAGGGAAAGGACAUGGGAGCGGGCCCCGUGGAAGAGUGCGCAGGAGACGGCGACAAAAGCCUGGGCCUAAGCCUGAUGCCGCCAGCGGAGCAGGCUGUCAGGCAGGGCGCCGAGCCGUCUGGCAGCGGCUGCGGUGGCAGCAGCAGCAGCAGCCGCACAGAGCCGCAGCCACUGCCGGCACUGCCGCUGCCGGCGCCGAUGUUGGAGCGCAGCAGCGGUACCGUCACGGUGGCCGCGCCGCAGGCCGCUGGUCACCAGUCGCAGCCCUCGGCGCCUGCCGGCUCAUCGGUGCUGCGGCCGCAUAAGCCGUACCGCUCCUACCUCCGGGGCAGGACCAAGCACUACUUCAAGGUGGGGAUGAGGGUGUGAGGCAAACGGCUUCGUGUGGGAUAUACCGCUCCAGGGCAAGGCAUGUUGCUGCUGUCCGCCGAUUGCUUGCCUUCAUGCAGUUUAAGGAGCGUCGGGUUCUCCUGUCGCAGAUCCCCUGGGCCGAGCUGGAGGACAUCACGCCGGGCUUCGAGGAGCGGCUGGCGGCGCUGUGUGCGGCACGCGGCCGGGUGCUGACGGGCGUGUACGUGCGCGCAGGUGCGUGUGGGCAGUCGCGCAGGUGCAUUCCCGCACAUGAAAAGGGGCACAGGUGUUGUGCAGGCGGCAGUGCAGAUCUGACAGAACCGCCUUCUGUCCCCUUGGUUGCAAAUGCAGGGUGCAUCGAGCUUACCAUACACCUUGCUGAGUACGGCGCCGGAACCACUAGAGCCGGCGUGCAUGCUGGCCCUGCAGCAGCAGCCGGCGCGCUCUCGCACUCCGACGCGGCGGUCCUGAGCGUUGAGGAGGUGAUCGCCGCCCUGGGCCUGAGCCUGCCGAGCGGGCCCGCCGAUGCAGCCCUGCAGGCGGUGUCGGUGCAGCAGGAGCUGGUGGACAGGGCGGCAAGCGAGCCCGAGGCCAGCGGUGAUGGCGCCCGCAGCCAAGCGCGUGUGGUGCGCGUGUCGCCACGUGUGCUGCUGCUGACGCCUGCAGACGCGGCUGCCAGCUCGGCUGCAGCACUGCGCGUGCGUGUGGCUUUCGGUGGCAGCACUGGACCGGCCACAGCAUUCAACGUGGCGAUGCUGGGUGCUGCGGGUGUCCUGGCCACACGGGUCACGGCCAAGGAGCUGCAGGCUGCGUCAAAGGAGGGCGCUGAGGCCGGGUCUGAGGAGUGGGAGUAUGCCAUUGAGCUCCUGGAGGCGCCGCCGCACCCACAGCUGCUGACGGUGCAGCUCGCGUUCCCAGCAGCAGCGGCGGGGGCUGCGGCCGAGGACAGCGCUGCCGCAGCCACUCCCAGCCCGUACGUGCAGUGGCUGUCGGUGCCGGUGCUCGCGGUGGACGACGCCGCGGUAGCCGCCGAGCUGAGCGCAGCGCUGCAGCUGCUGCAGACCUCUGAGGCAGGCGCGGAGGUGGGCGCGGCGGCGGAGUGGGCCCACCCGCUGCUGUGCGACCUGGGUCUGUGGCUGGCGUCCGCCGCAGCCUCGGGCGCUGCCGGUUGCUCCGAGGCCGUGCGCCGCCUGCCUGCAGAGUGGGUGUCGGAGGUGGGCGCGUGCCUGCUUGCGUACACGGAGGGCGCGGGUCUGGUGGCCACCGCCGCCCGCAUCCGCGCGGACACACAGCGGCUAGCUGCCCUGCCAGCAGUCGCAGAGGCAAUUGCAGCCAAGGAGAGCCCACGGGUGGCCGAUGAUGACGCAGCAGUCGGCACGUGCCAACAUGCAGCAGCAAGCACCAGCGGCUCCGCUACUGCUGCCAUGGCUUGGCAGAAGCCCAACACUAAUGCAUUGCGCCAACGCUGCAAGGGCAGCAGUCGCGGCAAGUGCGCCAGCAAGGGCGCUGAAUGCGGUGGCAAGGAGGAGGAGAGCAGCAGCAGUGCUGGUGGCGGCAGCGACUGCAGCCCGGAUGGAUUGCAGCAGUACACACAGGCGUGGAUUGUGGCCAUGUGCUUCACCUGGUGAGUCCAGACUAGAAGAAUACGGUGCCUGUAUAUAUUGAUGGCAAGGGUACCUUUGUGAGCAUCAUCAGCUGCUUGGGAGUAUCUCCGCAGCCCGCGACCCGCAGUAACGCUCUGCCCCAUGGCACGGCCACCUGCAGCCAAAUCGUGGAGUGCCUGGUGGCCCUGGGCUUCGCUGUGCGGGGCGUGAGGGCCGGACAGCCGCUGUGGAGUGCUGAGAGCGCCGUGGUCUACACGGGACUCGGCGUUGGGGUCGUGACCACGCUAGCCGGGCUGUGGAUGACGCCGCGAGCCUGGUAGGUCGCAAGGUUCCGCUUGGGGCCUUGGGAUCAGUGGGUAAGAGCUAGGUGACGACCCUGGUGACGCAAGCAUGGAGCAGCCUAGUCUCUGAAAGCCUUAUGCAGCGGACUGCUGUAAAGUUCCUAUCCAUUUUGUGUCCAUCCACCAGGUCAAGGCUGGCGCUGGCUGCUCGGCUGCCUCGCUUCCUGGGCUUUAUGUUUGGCAAGGCACUGGUUUCGGUCGGCGCGCUGCCGCCACCCGCCGGAGCUGCUACGUACGGGAGCGGCCCCGGCAUUCUGCUGCUCGAGGGCGUCAUCCUGCCCAGCGGCUGCCUUCUGCCGCCGCGCACUGCCCUGGCGAUGAGCUGCCUGAAGCUGCCACUCAACAUAAUGUCAGGGCUGGUUGUGGGCGCAUUUGAAAACCUCUUGCCGGCGGUGCUGAUGGCGCUGGCAGUGGAGGCACUGGCGAUGGGCACCACCCUGGCAUGCCACGGCUACGUGCGCCGCCACUACAUGCGCCUGCGCUGGCAAUGAUUGUCCGCCGUGUGGCACCAACACUGCAGUGCAUGGCAGCCACUGUAUCCUAUAGGGGGACGUGCAUGUGCAUGAGGGGCGGGCCACUUACUGGUCAACGCUAUUACUGAUGGGGAUGGCUUGCUACUGAUACGCGCCCGUUUGCAGUGCUCCAUACUGGGCCAGCUCCUGUGUAGAUGAUGUUUUACCUCGGUGAUCUGCUGUUAUUUCUCAUGCCAUGCCAUGAGCGGGCACUGGUGCUUAACGCUGCUGUCCAUGCCCGCUGCUAGCAUGCACUGAUACAAUUGCUGCUGAAAUGGUUGCUGCUGAAUGUGAUCGCCCGCGCAUUGCAACUGCGGUGGUAUGUUCCUUGCGCGCCGACAAUGUUGUUCAGAUGGUGCCGUGCGCUUUCCUCCUUGCGCUUGGCGGUUGAAUGGAGCCUGUCAUCAACCCGGUGUUUGGCGAAAGCGGCACCCAGGCUGGGCAGGCAUCAGCCGUGCCCUGGCAAGAAGAAGGAAUGUCUGUUGGUGGCGCAUGCAGGGUGCCUGCUUGGGUUCAUGCUUGGGCGUGGAAGCUUGCGAAAGCUCAAGCGCUCAUAUUACGGCUGCAUAUAGCAGCUUCUAAUCGAUGGCCGAGGCGAGUAGCAGUGCAUGUAUUUGGACAGUGCUGGGCGCUGUUAUACUAGAUGCGCAGCCUGUCCGGUGCUGUGCGGUUGAAUGACAGCUAAGGUAGCCCCUUUCACCAAGUCUCAGAGUUUCGUGUGACCUGGGCAUCCGGUGACGCAGCGGCGGUGUUGGAAAGCAAGGGCGGAACCACAACGCCGGCACGUAAAGUCCAACGCGUUCCCUUCGAUGUCGCUGAGGGCAUGAACGGUACUUACGCACCGCAGAGCCAUUCAACGUACGGUUGGUUAAGGGAUGCGUUAGUUUGGAUGCAUUAGCACGAAACAGUCGAGUGCAACAAGAUGGGUUACACGCGAUCAUCCUGUGUAGCUGAUGAGCGGUUGUGUGCCAGGUGCCCGUGUCAUUUUACAGUGCCCUCCAUGGGUGCGACAUGGUGGUGGCAUGCAGUGGGCGCGGGGGCACCUGGGCGUGUCGGUGCGGGCAGUGGCGGUGCCGCACGCGGUCGCAAUGGAGGUCGAGGUGGCGAGGUAGCAGGGGCCGGGGCAGCAGGGGCGGUAGGGGCACAGGCAGGCGGACAUGGCAUGGAGAAAUGGCACCUUCAAGUUAGUUCGCACUGUCACGCAACUCUGCAAGACUCGGUCCUGGCGCCUUAGCACGAACGAUAUAUAGACUAGAUCCUUGUUAUCUAUAGGGAAGACGCGGCUGAAGAUGGCUCAGCGGGCUAAGACCGCGCAACAACGGGUCGGUGUGAGGUAAUUGCUGGUCACAUAACAGGGACCAGCUGUUUCUGCGCUGUUACUAAUAUUCAUUUAGGUUUAACCUACAGUAAACUUACCACCACGUAUGUAGGCAAGAGCGGCUAUGUUGACACGAAGCCGGGCUCAGGGCGCCCUGGAGGCCCUCAUGAUUCCUGUUCUUAUGGUUCCCCAAUGCUGGAUAACUCUCAUAGAGCACUCCGAAUGCACGAACUCGGGCGGUGGAGGGGCUGCAGCGAGAUGGGACAGCCUCCUCGUUUCCCGACUCCAACAUGACCGCUGGCCGUGUGAUGCAAGCGUGUUGAUGAAGCUAGGUCUGAUGCUGAGGUAUCUUCACUUGGUAUGGCUCGACGUCCUCACGCCGCGGUUGCGGGAACCAGUCCUAUUAGUCACGGCGACCCUGAACUUCCCGUUGCUGCUACUGCGAGCCUUGUCGGCCCGCGUCUUGCCGGCGCAGCUGUAUGAACAGGUGCGCUGGUUGAAGGCAGCGGGGUGGUCUGUGGGGCUGUGUGUGGGGCGGGGGCCGGCGGGGGGGGGGCCUGAAGCGGUAGCCACAUGAGGUCACCAGGGCCUGCCGAAUAAAAAGUGACCCCACAGCACCAGCCUUGACAGCUGCCGCCUGCAGCUGUCUUUGCAAGUCAGUCGCUUUUUUGGAUGGACCGGCAUGCGCCCUCGCAGUCACUCGCAGCGCCGUCAUUUCCAGGCGAGAGCCCGGGCGACACCGGCGCCCCACCCACGUGUGUGUCUGCUGCCUUGCCCCCCAACCCCCACGUGCCAAACCCCUCGCCCACAGGUCAUUUCCCCUCUGGUAGUGUACUGGUGUCGUACGACCGUGUACCUGGGCAUCAUCCUGGCAGGCCCGAACACGGUGAGUUGACGGCUGACCAGCCGUGCAGUCCGAGCCAGUCAUCAGGUCGGUCAGCCAGCCAGUCAGUCUUGACACCACCAACCCUACAGACCCGCUAGUGCCGUGACGGCACACGUGUCCCAUGGGCUCACGGGCCAGCGCGCAGCCCCCACCUGCGUCCGCCGGACCACUUGGCCCAGCAACGACUGACCGCCUGGCUCACCACACACGCCCCCGCACUCGCACACCUGGCUGCAGGCGCCCUCGAUGGUGGCCCAGGCCUACCUACAGCAGUCACAGGCGGUGGUGGCCUACCACAUCAUCAUGUUCGCAAGCCUGCUGGGAGCAUGGGUGAGAGGGGGGGUGGGAGGGAGGCGGGGGCCUGGGAGCGGGGGGGCGGUGGGGGCCUGGGGCCGCGUCAACAUGCCGGCCAGGCAUUGCUUCUUCUUCUUACCGUGCGUGGUGUGUUAGCACCGGCGUCGUUGCGCUUCGUGCCCCCUGGGUCUAACUGUGAUGUCGCUUCUGUGCCUUGGCAGGACGUGGACGCGCGCGUGGAGCUGGCUGCGGUCCUGCUCGAGGCAGCGUGCGCGCUCACCUGCCUGUCCUGGCACGGCGCCAAGGUGCCGGGCGGGUCGCCGCACCCGGCCGCGCUGCUGGCGGGGCGCGCGCUGGUGCCGGUGGUGAACCUCAGCCUGGCGUACGCGGCGGGAAGGUGGAGGCCGGGCGGACUGGGCACAGGCAGGCGAGGCGGCGGAAGCGCACUCGCCCUGGACAAGUGCAUCAGCAUGCGCGCCAGUGGCGCUGCGGGU